GACAGAGGUGCCAAGCGUUAGGCGGAAUCACUGGGCUUAAAGCGUGUGUAGGCGGACUGGUAAGUACCUUGUGAAAUCCCACGGCUUAACCGUGGAACUGCUUGGUAUACUGGUUGUCUUGAGCCAGCUAGGGCGAGCGGAACAGACGGUGGAGCGGUGAAAUGCGUAGAUAUCGUCUGGAACGCCGAAGGUGAAAACAGCUCGCUGGGGCUGCGCUGACGCUGAGACACGAAAGCCAGGGGAGCGAACGGG
rnacentral:rRNA from 1 species